AAUUUUGGACAAUGGGGGAAACCCUGAUCCAGCCAUCCCGCGUGUAUGAUGAAGGCCUUCGGGUUGUAAAGUACUUUUGGCAGAGAAGAAAAGGUACCUCCUAAUACGAGGUAAUGCUGACGGUAGCUGCAGAAUAAGCACCGGCUAACUACGUGCCAGCCGCCGCGGUAAAACGUAGGGUGCACACGUUAAACGGAAAUACUGGGCGUAAAGCGGGUGUAGGCGGUUCGGAGAGAAAGAUGUGAAAUCCCAGGGCUCAACCUUGGAAAUGCAUUUUUAAAUUCCGAGCUAGAGUAUGUCAGAGGGGGGUAGAAUUCCACGUGUAGCAGUGAAAUGCGUAGAUAUGUGGAGGAAUACCGAUGGCGAAGGCAGCCCCCUGGGAUAAUACUGACGCUCAGACACGAAAGCGUGGGGAGCAAACAG
rnacentral:rRNA from 1 species